CGAUAUUGGUAAUACUGUUUCUGGGCAAAUUGGUAUAGUUGGCACCCCUGACGUAGCUGGCGGCACGGCCCGGGCCGCGCGGUGCUUGAUCAGCUGACUGACAGGACUAGCUCUAAUGAAGGUAUUCCCAUCUGACAAAAGUGAGAGCACUGCUCCGCCCAGCCAUCGCCUCCAGCAUUCAGCGGAGUGUGGCCGGCUCAGCAGGAUCCAGUCCCACCUCCAGAGGCAUAUCAUGGUGGGCAGCACAAACAGUCUUGAGCAACAUACACCUUCGGGUCUCUGGAUGACCUCCCCAGCCUCCUAAAGCCCAGAAAAAGAAGCCUUUGCCCCCAG